GGAGAUAGCCUGAAUAUUCUGAAGGCAAUGAAUCCCAUCUGAUCUUGGAAGCUAAGCAGGGACAGGCCUGGUUAGUACUGGGAAGGGGAACUGCCAAGGAAAAAUAUGUUAUAUUAACU
rnacentral:rRNA from 1 species